UACGAAGGGGGCUAGCGUUGUUCGGAAUUACUGGGCGUAAAGCGCACGUAGGCGGACUAUUAAGUCAGGGGUGAAAUCCCGGGGCUCAACCCCGGAACUGCCUUUGAUACUGGUAGUCUCGAGUCCGGAAGAGGUGAGUGGAAUUCCGAGUGUAGAGGUGAAAUUCGUAGAUAUUCGGAGGAACACCAGUGGCGAAGGCGGCUCACUGGCCCGGUUCUGACGCUGAGGUGCGAAAGCGUGGGGAGCAAACAGG
rnacentral:rRNA from 1 species